rnacentral:rRNA from 1 species
GGUGGGGAUGACGUCAAGUCCUCAUGGCCCUUACGGGCUGGGCUACACACGUGCUACAAUGGUGGUGACAGUGGGCAGCGAGAUCGCAAGGUCGAGCUAAUCUCCAAAAGCCAUCUCAGUUCGGAUUGCACUCUGCAACUCGGGUGCAUGAAGUUGGAAUCGCUAGUAAUCGUGGAUCAGCAUGCCACGGUGAAUACGUUCCCGGGCCUUGUACACACCGCCCGUCACACCAUGGGAGUUGGUUCUACCCGAAGGCGAUGCGCUAACCGCAAGGAGGCAGUCGACCACGGUAGGGUCAGCGACUGGGGUGAAGUCGUAACAAGGUAGCCGUAGGGGAACCUGCGGCUGGAUCACCUCCUUU